rnacentral:rRNA from 1 species
AUUGAACGCUGGCGGCAGGCCUAACACAUGCAAGUCGAGCGGAUGAAGGGAGCUUGCUCCUGGAUUCAGCGGCGGACGGGUGAGUAAUGCCUAGGAAUCUGCCUGGUAGUGGGGGAUAACGUCCGGAAACGGGCGCUAAUACCGCAUACGUCCUGAGGGAGAAAGUGGGGGAUCUUCGGACCUCACGCUAUCAGAUGAGCCUAGGUCGGAUUAGCUAGUUGGUGGGGUAAAGGCCUACCAAGGCGACGAUCCGUAACUGGUCUGAGAGGAUGAUCAGUCACACUGGAACUGGGAAACGGUCCAGACUCCUACGGGAGGCAGCAGUGGGGAAUAUUGGACAAUGGGCGAAAGCCUGAUCCAGCCAUGCCGCGUGGGUGAAGAAGGUCUUCGGAUUGUAAAGCACUUUAAGUUGGGAGGAAGGGCAGUAAGUUAAUACCGUGCUGUUUUGACGUUACCAACAGAAUAAGCACCGGCUAACUUCGUGC